GUGAUUAGACAAGUCAGUGCAGCAGGACCUGCUCAGAGAAGAGGCAGCCAGUGUCUCCUGUCUCAUCCACCCUAAGAAUGGUCCGCAAGGCAAUGCAGCAAACAAGGUCUCUUAAAUUUGGAAGACAGUGUUUCCUUGUUCACUUUCUUUCCAUUCGCACUGGCUCUGAGAUUUCUCCCAACACAAAUAUUCAUGAGAGGUGAAAGGAGAAUAUUGAUGAAGAUUAUUUUCAUUUAUGACUGAGGAAGUAUGAAUAAACUUGCCAAUUCAUGAACACUUUCAAGAAGAGUGAAUACUCCAUCCGGUCAUGAGCUUAACAUCUUCAUGUUCAGGAGAUACACAGGUUCAGAGGAAGUGGAGAAAACUCAGACAAGUCGUGGGAGGUUGCUUCUGCUGCCAUGCUGCUGCUGCUGCUCGCCCUCCAGUUUUGCCGCUGCAGCUUCGGUUGCUCAAGCCAGCUAAGUCAGUCUGAGUGUGAGUAGGUGGCAAGGGGUACACUGAAUCUUCUGGUGCAAUUUUAGGGAACGAUCUCUUCCCUGCAUGACAGUGUUACAGCUCCUAUGAAAGCUCUCAGACUAUGGAGUAAUUCCUGCACACCUUUAAUCCUUCUGGAUAGGAAUCUUAAAUAUAUUGCAGGGUGGGUCAGGGUCUAAGAGCAGGUAAUUUCUAUUGCUUUGACCUGAGAGCUUGGGAAUACAGCAUCUACAUAUUUGGGGCCAUGAUCCUGCAUCUAUGUGACUGAUCUGUCUUGAGCCUACAUGACUGUGGUCCCAUCCGCACCUGUGGAUAAGGGGUUAGGGCAUUGCCUUAUGUGACUGAUGUGUCUCAAAAUUGUCUGCAAGGG
rnacentral:lncRNA from 1 species